rnacentral:rRNA from 1 species
GAUGAACGCUGGCGGCGUGCCUAAUACAUGCAAGUCGAGCGAACGGACGAGAAGCUUGCUUCUCUGAUGUUAGCGGCGGACGGGUGAGUAACACGUGUAUAACCUACCUAUAAGACUGGGAUAACUUCGGGAAACCGGAGCUAAUACCGGAUAAUAUUUUGAACCGCAUGGUUCAAAAGUGAAAGACGGUCUUUCUUUCACUUAUAGAUGGAUCCGCGCUGCAUUAGCUAGUUGGUAAGGUAACGGCUUACCAAGGCAACGAUGCAUAGCCGACCUGAGAGGGUGAUCGGCCACACGGGAACUGAGACACGGUCCAGACUCCUACGGGAGGCAGCAGUAGGGAAUCUUACGCAAUGGGCGAAAGCCUGACGGAGCAACGCCGCGUGAGUGAUGAAGGUCUUCGGAUCGUAAAACUCUGUUAUUAGGGAAGAACAUAUGUGUAAGUAACUGUGCACAUCUUGACGGUACCUAAUCAGAAAGCCACGGCUAACUACGUG